rnacentral:tRNA from 1 species
ACAGUGGUGGUUCAGAGGUAGACUUCUCACCUUCCACGAGGGAAACCCGGGUUCUAUUCCUGGCCAAUGCA